rnacentral:misc_RNA from 1 species
CUAUCCUCCCGUCAAUACAGGGCACAUCAGGCUUUCGUAAGGGACAAAUUGAUUCGGGCAAAAAGGGACAAAGUCCCCGACCGAUCUUUUGCUUCUACAUACAAGACUUCGAGCAACCCUUGGGCGUCCAAUGCCUGCUAGCUAAAUAAGAAAAGCAAGAGCGAACGUACAUGGGUGCUAAAUGGUCUACGUCGCACAAAACCUUUUAGCACGAGAUAGAGUAUGGAUCGUGGGACUAGAGCAUUCCGUCAAAAUAGGUAUGCUGCACAGGGGGCCAAGGCAGUCCAAGGUAAAAGAUUUAGCACUCAAACAGAAUUGAACAGGUAUGAACUAGCGAUUAUCGCUGCCAGGGCAGGGAACCAACCAACCGGAACAUACCAAUCACCACUCAUGCUCUACACGUACAACAUGCCUCCAUCACCCGCUAGGUAAAAGCACCUCAAAGACCCUAAAGCCUACAGAUGACUUGACCAUAACAAAUGAAGGAGAAAUGCACCGCUUCACGCGAAUCCAAAGAAAAGUCAAUCCUUUAACCCAACUAAAAAGUGAACUGAAACCCACAAGAAGCACCAACAAAGGCCAGCAACAAUUGCCGCAGAACAAGCCUUGCAUCCGUUCAUAACCAACAAAGAGAUAGCAUUGACAGCGAACACGACUCCAGCCGCGAACAAUUACGUCAUGAUGCUAACCCCGUUUGAUGAGACCGAAUAGGCUAGAUCGGGAGUAACGUUGUCAACAUCAAGCGAUCUCUAAUCAGCCCAUUUUAGACGCUGAUCAGGAGAC